rnacentral:rRNA from 1 species
GACAGAGGUCCCGAGCGUUAUGCGGAAUCACUGGGCUUAAAGCGUGUGUAGGCGGAUCGUUAAGUACCUUGUGAAAUCCCACGGCUUAACCGUGGAACUGCUUGGUAUACUGGCGAUCUUGAGCCACUUAGGGGCUACCGGAACAAAUGGUGGAGCGGUGAAAUGCGUAGAUAUCAUUUGGAACGCCAAUGGUGAAAACAGGUAGCUGGGAGUGUGCUGACGCUGAGACACGAAAGCCAGGGGAGCAAACGGG